rnacentral:rRNA from 1 species
GAGUUUGAUCGUGGCUCAGGAUGAACGCUGGCGGCGUGCUUAACACAUGCAAGUCGAACGAUGAUCCCAGCUUGCUGGGGGAUUAGUGGCGAACGGGUGAGUAACACGUGAGUAACCUGCCCUUGACUCUGGGGAUAAGCCUGGGAAACUGGGUCUAAUACCGGAUAUGACCUUCCAUCGCAUGGUGGUUGGUGGAAAGUCUUUUGUGGUUUGGAUGGACUCGCGGCCUAUCAGCUUGUUGGUGAGGUAUGGCUUACCAAGGCGACGACGGGUAGCCGGCCUGAGAGGGUGACCGGCCACACUGGGACUGAGACACGGCCCAGACUCCUACGGGAGGCAGCAGUGGGGAAUAUUGCACAAUGGGCGCAAGCCUGAUGCAGCGACGCCGCGUGAGGGA